rnacentral:rRNA from 1 species
CAGCAGCCACGGUAACACGGAGGGUGCAAGCGUUAUCCGGAUUUAUUGGGUUUAAAGGGUCCGUAGGCGGAUCUGUAAGUCAGUGGUGAAAUCUCACAGCUUAACUGUGAAACUGCCAUUGAUACUGCAGGUCUUGAGUAAAUUUGAAGUGGCUGGAAUAAGUAGUGUAGCGGUGAAAUGCAUAGAUAUUACUUAGAACACCAAUUGCGAAGGCAGGUCACUAAGAUUUAACUGACGCUGAUGGACGAAAGCGUGGGGAGCGAACAGGAUUAGAUACCCGUGUAGUCCCUGUCUCUUAUAC